rnacentral:misc_RNA from 1 species
AAACGAUACUCCAGCCAUCUCAGCUAAGUGCUCACACGAAUUACUUAAAUGCUAAUUACACAGACCCUUGUGGGUGCCUGUGACGUUUUCGUCUCUGGCUUUACUGUGUUGUUCUUUAAAAAUUAGGAUACAUGAGAAUUGAGAUUCUCAAGCGCAACUUAAGGUUGCUUGAUCGAUUAACGUCAAUAAUUCCUUACCUUAAAGUUUUCUGCUCAUAGCUUGUAGCAGUAAAACGGUUUGGGGUUAUAUGGUCAAGUGACUAAGCGUGCACGGUGGA